GCUCAGGAUGAACGCUGGCCGGCGUGCCUAACACAUGCAAGUCGAGCGAUCUCUUCGGAGAGAGCGGCGGACGGGUGAGUAACGCGUGGGUAACCUGCCCUGUACACACGGAUAACAUACCGAAAGGUAUACUAAUACGGGAUAACAUACGAAAGUCGCAUGGCUUUUGUAUCAAAGCUCCGGCGGUACAGGAUGGACCCGCGUCUGAUUAGCUAGUUGGUAAGGUAAUGGCUUACCAAGGCAACGAUCAGUAGCCGACCUGAGAGGGUGAUCGGCCACACUGGAACUGAGACACGGUCCAGACUCCUACGGGAGGCAGCAGUGGGGAAUAUUGCACAAUGGGCGAAAGCCUGAUGCAGCAACGCCGCGUGAGCGAUGAAGGCCUUCGGGUCGUAAAGCUCUGUCCUCAAGGAAGAUAAUGACGGUACUUGAGGAGGAAGCCCCGGCUAACUACGUGCCAGCAGCCGCGGUAAUACGUAGGGGGCUAGCGUUAUCCGGAAUUACUGGGCGUAAAGGGUGCGUAGGUGGUUUUUUAAGUCAGAAGUGAAAGGCUACGGCUCAACCGUAGUAAGCUUUUGAAACUAGAGAACUUGAGUGCAGGAGAGGAGAGUAGAAUUCCUAGUGUAGCGGUGAAAUGCGUAGAUAUUAGGAGGAAUACCAGUAGCGAAGGCGGCUCUCUGGACUGUAACUGACACUGAGGCACGAAAGCGUGGGGAGCAAACAGGAUUAGAUACCCUGGUAGUCCACGCCGUAAACGAUGAGUACUAGGUGUCGGGGGUUACCCCCCUCGGUGCCGCAGCUAACGCAUUAAGUACUCCGCCUGGGAAGUACGCUCGCAAGAGUGAAACUCAAAGGAAUUGACGG
rnacentral:rRNA from 1 species